rnacentral:tRNA from 1 species
AUUCUUGUAGCUCAGGUGGUUAGAGCGCACCCCUGAUAAGGGUGAGGUCGGUGGUUCAAGUCCACUCAGGCCUACCA